ensembl:lincRNA
CCAAAUAACUUACGUCCAGUUUUUCCUGUUGUUAACGUGUUACAUUAGUAUUGUCAUUUGUCACAACCAGUGAAACAGUAUUGGUACAUUAUUAUUGACUAAAUUCUUUACUUGAUUGACUUCUUUAGUUUUUGCUUAAGGUCUGUAUUAGUUAGCUGCCAUAAUAAAAUACCACAGACUGCAUGGAUUAAACAACAGAAAUUUAUUUUUUCACAGAUCCGGAGACUGGAAGUCUGAGAUCUGGGUGUCAGCAGGGUUGGGUUCCAGUGAGGACUCUCUUCCUGGCUUGCAGAGGGGCACAGUCCCCUUUCCUAGAGGGAAACCAGUCAGGAGUGGGAGGCCUCUGAACAAGCUGUAUUCUGUGUAGCCGCCAGCUUCCAUUUUUCUCCAGGCAGAACGCUGGCCCUCAGCACCUCUUUCUGCUUCCCCUUGGUCAGACCACUGAGGACUGCCGCUGUCCUGUCUGACUCCUCCUGUUUCGGUUCUAACAUGCCAAGAAGAUGUGAAACUAUUCUGCUAGACUUUGGUGUUGAUCCAAAUAUUGCAGAUGUCUAUGGCAUCACUGCUCUCCACCUGCUGUCUGUAAUGAGAGUAUGUCAAAGCUUCUUCUCAGAUCCAGGAAAGGAGCUGUCCAGGAUAAUGAGGAUAGGCUGGGGAAAGACAAGCCACGGCUUUGCCUCUGUGCCAGCUCGCAUGGGCCAGGCAGAUGAUCCCAGGACACCCGCCUCCACAACAUCAACACCCGCUCCAUCCUUCAUCAACAAUUCAGUACCUGAUUAACAAAUCUGUACCCCAGGAGGUUAUGCCAAGCCCAACUUCUUCCAGAGACAACAAUAAGUCCAAGCCACUGCUAAUGUCAUUUAUAAGCUGUGGGAUUAAAACAGAGAAGCACUCAAUUAAUUAAAAUUAGCCCUCUAUUGAAACUAUAAGCAUCUUGCUUCCUAAGAUUCUAGACCAAAUAAGUGACUGCCAAUUCUACUCUUAUAGAAUGAAAGAGUUUGCCAUUUUUAAUGUAAUGAAUUUUUUUCACUCUGAAAUAAGAUUAAAUCAAAAUGGUCUUAGCCUAAAAAAAUUCUCUUUAUUGGCGAAGAAGAAAACACCUCUUGUUACCUGUGUUCCACUUGUCAAGUUACACUAGCAAUCUGAGUCUUAGUUUCUAUAUUUGUAAAAUGGAAAAAAAUAAUGUGUCCCCCACGUGGCUAUUGUGAAGAUAAAAUGAGAAGAUACAUGCCAAGUGCCUAAUACAGGGCCUGGAGUAUGGAAGUACCCAGCAAACAUUCCAUCUCUCCAUUGGGCAAGGCAGUACUGGACAGUACCAAAAGGAGUAUUGAAGGUGGGAGGAGGAAAAUAAGAUCUUCAAGCAGUCAAACACAACAGAAUCCCAAAGUUACAACCAAAAGGGGUUAGGUAUGUUUUACAGAAAAUGUUAAGAAGGAUAAGUGAAAAGUAUUACAUAGAUAUAUUUGUGUAUGAUACGCUUCUGUAAUAGGUAUAAUCUGAAUAUGAAAUCAGAAUUCCUGGUCUCUGGGAAUCAGGGUUUUGAUUGUUUUCUAAGAUAGAUUAGUUUCUUCUGCUCCAGAAUUUCAUACAGAUUAAAUUUUAUAGCCAGGCACUAUCGCUUACACCUAUAAUCUCAGCACUUUGGGAGGC